AAUAACUCUACAACUGGGUCAUGUUUUUGAUCCCAGCUUUGAGGAGGGCAGAGGCAGGUGGAUCUUUUGAGUUUCAGACCAACCUUGUCUACAGAGUGUAGUUACAAGCCAGCUGGGCUACACAGUGAGACAUUUUUAUUAAAAGUCCUAAACUUCAGAACCAAAUCGACCGAAACUGAAGCCCCUACUCCCACCUACCAUGUUUCCAUUCGGGAGCCUAGGGCCAAUUAAGGACUAUGAAUGAGCCAGAGGCCACGACUGACUUGUGUCUGAACUUGCACUCUCAACCUGAAUGCUUGUGAUAAUUCAUCCUUGUGAUAAUCUGAUAAAGAAAUAAACAAUCGAUAAUUAGACUAGAUCAGGGACAGUGACCAGAGGUGGCCCUUGCCCAACUGAAUUUUAGAAGUUGGGGGGAUGAAACGGGUCUGUUAACACCUCUGUUCAUAUCCCUCCUAGGGUUUGCAAAGCCCAGGCUGAGAAGGCUGGCUGGCCCUCGGGUUUUCUCAGAACAGUAUUAUUCCCCUCCCCCUAUGCCUAAGUAGGGUCCUUUCAGAAGACUGUGUAUGGUGGCCCUACGGGUGAGGGCAUGGCUUGCCCAGUGGGUGGCUGCAGGAUAUCUGAAAUACAUGCUCAAGCAUGAGCACGCCAAGAGGGUGUUUAAAAUCUACCUGCAUUGUCUAGCCGUGUGGCUUUGGGCGCUCUUUGAGUUUAAAGUGCCCCAUCUGCAACUCCAGGGGUCAUUAAUGUCUGCUACCUCAUGCUCUCUGAUUUGUGAGUAUUGACAGAGAAUGUGUAUGGUCAAUAAUGUACUACUGGGAACAAUACCUGGUACAUUCUUAAGAGCACAAAUGUUGGGGUUAUUACCGUAUUUUGUAAGUUUGUACCAUUUGGCCUCAGCCUGCCUCUUGCUACUCUUGGCAUUUACUUGCAAUUUGCCCUAACCUUAUCUUCAGCUCCCAUCCUUAUCUGUCUUUUAAGACAGAGGGAUCACCUGAGAAAACCCUGUGUGAUCCCCUUCGCACUCUCCCUUCUGUCUACGACUAUCCCAAUAACUGUACUAUAAAUAAACUUGUGGGCUGGGGCUGUGAUGCUU
rnacentral:lncRNA from 1 species